CAUGCAUAUAUAUAUGUAUUUAUAUAUACAUAAUAAAUAUAAACGGUACACUCACAUAUGUUAUGUAAACAAAUAAAAUUAUUUUGGAUGUGAUUAAUCAUGAUUAAUCGUUUGACAGCACAUAUAUAUAUACAGUCAUGGCCAAAAGUUUUGGCAGUGACAUAAACUUAGUGUUAUGCAAAGUUUGCUGCUUCCGUAUUUGUAAAUAAUUUUUCCACGUUUCUAUGGUAUACUGAAAAACAAUGAUAAGAAUAUCAUAAGUUUUAAAGGCUUUUAUUGGCAAAAAAAUAUAAUGAGUCAAUAUUUACAGUGUUGACCCUUGUUCUUUAUAACCUCUGCAGUUGUCUCUGGCAUGCUGGAUAUUAGCUUCUGGGCCAAAAAUCCUGACUGAUGGCGAUCCAUUCUUGCCUUAUUAGUUCUUGGAGUUGAUCAUAAUUUGUGGGCUUCAGCUUGUCCACUUGCCUAUUGAGGACUGACCACAGAGAUCCGAGAUUGAGAUCCGGGCAGUUGCCUGGCCACGGAUCCAAAAUUUCAAUGUAAUGAUCUUUGAGCCACUUCUUUAUCACUCUUACUUUGUGACAUGGUGCUCCAUCAUGCUGGAAAAUGCAUGGAUCUUCGUCAAAUUGCUCACGGAUUGUUGGAAGAAGUCACUCUUGCAGGACGUUUUGAUACCGUUCUUUAUUCAUGGCAGUGUUUUUGGGCAGAAUUAUGAGAGAGCCAACUCACUUGGUUGAAAAGCAACCCCACACAUGGAUGGUCUCAGGAUUCUUCACUGUUGGCACAACACAGGACUCAUGGUAGCGUUCACCUUUUCUUCUCCGAACAAUAUAUUUUCCAGAUCUCCCAAAUAGUCAGAAGGGAGCUUCAUCAGAGAAAAUAACUUUGCAUCAGUCUUCUACUGUCCAAUCCUUGUACUUCCUGCAGAAUUUCAGUCUGUCCUUGAAGUUUUUCUUGGAGAGAAGUGGCUUAUUUGCUGCCCUUCUUGACACCAUCCCGUUGUCCAAAAGUCUUGGCCUCACUGUGCGUGCAGAUGCUCUCACAUCAACCUGCUGCCAUUCCUGAGCGAGCUCUGCACUGCUGGUGACACGAUUCUGUAGCUGACUCCUCAGGAGGAGACAGUCCUGGCGCUUGCUGGAAACUCUGGGAUGUCCUGAAGACUUCUUCACUGCAGUCGAACCUCUCUCCUUGAAGUUCUUGAUGAUCCGGUAAAUGGUUCUUAAGGUUCUAAAAGGUUCUUAAUGGUUCUAAAAGGUGCAAUAUUCUUUGUAGCAAUUUCUGUGCAUGUGAGGCCAUUUUGAUGCAAAGUGAUGAUGGCUGCACGUGUUUCUUUGGAGGUUUUCAUUGCUAACCAGAACACAAUGAUUGGAAGUGCUUCUCCCCUCCUUUUAUACCAAUCAGUCUGCUCUUACAAUCUAUUUAGUAUGAUAGUGAUUUCACCUCACUAGUACUCAUUCACACUUUCACAUGUGCUACUGAUAUGAUAAGCCAGUUAAUGUUAGCUGGUCAUUUUGUGUCAGGAUUAAAAAAACAGUGUGAAAUGUGUGUUUUUGUGAAGAGUGGAUUUAGGUGAUUUGAGGGUCGGUUAAAAUUCAGUUUAUGUGUUUACUUGCUGUGAAAGAUCGAUGUAUCUGCUAAUUUCACUGCCCAUUUAGUAUUGUUUGCUCUUACAAUUGAUGUAUGAAGUGGCAUCAUCCACUUAACACUACAUCUGUUUCUAAUAGAUUGCAUUUCAGUGUUCAGAAACACUGGAUGAAUCAAAAAUGGUCCCAUCACUACAGACUCUGUUACCAAACAUGAUCUCUUUUCAAAUUAAAAAGCUGGUAAGUAGUUCUAAGGGAAGAGUGCGUGACAUUUGUUCCACAGAAUGUUUUUCAUUGAAAAAUACCUUGAGCUGUGCGAUGUUUACCACAUGAUGGUGGUUUGUGGCGUGUGAUUGUUCGCAUUUGAAGAUUCGUUGUAAUUUGUUUGUUUCUGUUCCUAUUUAUGCUGGGUAACCCACUGUUAUGAAAGGAAAUGAAAACCACUUAUGUUUUACAGGUUGAAGGAAUGAUAAAAACUGCACUUUUAAUAUAUACAGUAUAUUUGCCUCCCACAGCUUUUACUGUAAAAUAAGAGUUUGACAGCUGGAUUCUUUUGAAUCAGACCACUUUUGACCUUAUGCAGAGGAAGGAAACUUAUUUGCUUGAACCGCAAAUUUGUGCCACUUAUAUAAACAUAAAUUUCAAUGAUUUGGAAGUGAAUUAUUUUUCUUGCAUAAUUACUAAUAUCACAGCACUCAUUUUGUCAAUAAAGCCAUAGAUAUUUGAAAUGCAAGUUAUGGUCUUAUAAGGUCAGUUGUUUAGUAAUGCAUCAUUAAUUCUGUAAAACUAUACCACAUUCAUUUUGCAAUGAUUAUUACCUAACAGAUUUAUUGUGAAUAUAGUAUAUGUUUAUUCACAUAAUCCAUACAGUAUGUACGCCCUGUAAUUAAGUGAAAUAUUUCUUUCCCGAAUGAAAAGGGCAGCUUUCGCAAGCAACAUUGUGAAUGUGUCUGUUGCAAUGUUUCAACAAUUUAUUAAUGUUUGUAGUGUUUUUUAUGAAAAAAAGAAAGAAAAUGGUAUUUGCACAAAAUGUUUGAUUUCCAAAAAAUAUAUGUCGCUACUGAAGUUUCUCUUAUGAAGGAUUGGGAAAAAAAAAAAAAGAUUUAAUCUUCCGGUUAAUGUACAGUGAUGUCAGCUGGUGCUCCAGAUCCUGUGGAUUAAUGCACACACUGUUCUGACAUACCGGUGUGUUAAGUAUGCAUUCAACACAAGCCCACAGACAUGAGGCAUUAUUUAUCAUAUUCCACUUUACCUAUAUUCCAGUUAAAUCAUUGAACUCUUUGCAACUGGCAUUCCAGUUAGGUAUUAUUGUUAAAUUAUAUGGUAUAUUUGUCUUGAUACCUUUAUACUGUACACAAUGCAAGCCAAAACAAUGAAAAAGCAUCAUAUCUGUAUAUUUUUGCAUUAUGCAUUUAUUGAUCCAAAUAAUAUAUUUCAGUAUUGUAUUUUUGAUGGUUGGUCUGAUGUAAGUUUCUGAUGUAACUUGUUUGCUUUUUGUGAUGCAUCUUGAAUAUGACGUUGUGACAGAUGUAUUUAAGUCAUAAAAAAUAAACAUUCCAGUGUAAAUAUUU
ensembl:lncRNA